GCGGCGCGGCGGCGGACGCUGGGGCGCAGUAGCGGGUAGUGCGGGCGUGCGGCCAGGCGCCUCCCGGGCCCCCGCCCUCGAGAUCCAACUCUAGCCGGGGCCAGAACAAGUUGCGCCGGCGGCGGAGAGCCAGGCUGCAGGACCACCGGCCCGCCAUGCCGGCGGUCAAGAAGGAGCUCCCAGGUCGUGAAGACCUGGCCCUGGCUCUAGCCACCUUCCACCCGACCCUGGCCGCGCUGCCACUGCCGCCGCUGCCCGGCUACCUGACGCCACUGCCCGCCGCGGCCGCUCUGCCCCCGGCCGCUUCGCUACCCGCCGCGACCGCCGGCUACGAGGCGCUGUUGGCUCCGCCGCUCCGCGCCCCACGCGCCUACCUGAGCCUGCACGAGGCCGCCCCGCACCUCCACCUGCCCCGGGACCCUCUGGCCCUCGAGCGCUUCUCAGCCACUGCGGCCGCAGCACCGGAUUUCCAGCCGCUGCUGGACAACGGGGAGCCGUGUAUCGAGGUGGAGUGCGGCGCCAACCGCGCGCUGCUCUACGUGCGCAAACUCUGCCAGGGCAGCAAGGGUCCGUCCAUCCGCCACCGCGGCGAGUGGCUCACACCCAACGAGUUCCAGUUCGUCAGCGGCCGCGAGACGGCCAAGGACUGGAAGCGCAGCAUCCGCCACAAAGGGAAAAGUCUGAAGACGCUUAUGUCCAAGGGGAUUCUGCAAGUGCACCCUCCGAUCUGCGACUGUCCGGGCUGUCGGAUAUCCUCCCCUGUGAACCGGGGGCGGCUGGCAGACAAGAGGACAGUUGCUCCAUCCCCUGUGCGGAUCCUAAAGAAGGAGCUGACCCCCAGCUUCUCGGUCAGUGAUGGUGACAGUGACGGGAGUGGCCCGGCCUGUGGGCGGCGGCCGGGCCUGAAGCAGGAGGACGACCCGCAUGUCCGUAUCAUGAAGAGAAGAGUCCACACCCACUGGGACGUGAACAUCUCCUUCAGGGAGACGUCCUGCAGCCAGGACAGCGACCUUUCCACCCUCAUAUCCAGUGUGCACCGAAGCCGCCAGCUCGUUAUGCCCGAGCAUCAGAGCCGCUGUGAGUUCCAGAGAGGUGGCGUGGAGGUCGGCCUGGGAGCCACAGGCGACUUGUUGGGCAAGAGGCUGGGCCGCUCCCCCCACAUCAGCAGUGACUGUCCUUUGGAGAAGAAGGCCCGAAGCAAGUCCCCCCAAGAGACUCUGCUGCUGCCAGAACUAGGGCCCAGCAUGGCCCCCGAGGACCACUACCGCCGGCUCGUGUCCACCCUGAGUGAGGCCAGCACCUUUGAGGACCCCCAGCGUCUCUACCACCUGGGCCUGCCCAGCCACGAUCUUCUGAGGGUCCGGCAGGAGGUGGCAGCAGCCGCUGUGAGGAGCCCUAGUGGCCUGGAAGUCCACCUGCCCUCAUCCACAGCAGGUCAGCGUCGGAAGCAGGGCCUGGCUCAGCACCGAGAGGGCACCACCCCAGCUGGCGCCCCGUCCUUCUCAGAGAGGGAGCUGUCGCAACCGCCCCCCUUGCUGUCGCCCCAGAAUGCUCCGCACAUCGCCCUGGGCCCCCACCUCAGGCCCCCCUUUUUGGGGGUGCCCUCGGCUCUGUGCCAGACCCCAGGUUACGGCUUCCUGCCCCCUGCCCAGGCGGAGAUGCUCGCCCGGCAGCAGGAGCUCCUGCGCAAGCAGAACCUGGCGCGGCUGGAGAUGUCGGCGGAGCUGCUGCGUCAGAAGGAGCUGGAGAGCGCGCACCGGCCGCAGCUGCUGGCGCCCGAGGCCUCGCUGCGCCCGCCCGAGGGCACCGAGGAGCUGCAGCGACGCGGCGCCAUGCUGGUGCUGAGACACAGCUCCGCGCCGCUGCUGGCCCUGCCCCCCCAGGGCCCCCCAGGCCCCGGGCCCCCCACCCCGCCCCGGGAGCCUGCCCGCCGGGCCCCUGGGAAGGGGGGCCCCAGCCUUGCCUCAGCCAGGCCCAGUGAGUCCAAGGAGACCACCGGGACUGGGCUCUGGGCACCAGAUGGUUCUGAAGAUGAGCCCCCCAAGGACUCAGACGGAGAAGAUCCUGAGAUGGUGGCUGCUGGGGGCCGGGGCCCCACCCCAGGCCAAGCCCCAGCUGGAGGGGCCAGCUCUGAGGGGAAGGGGCUUCUCUCAGGGUCCAUGCUGCCCCCUCCACUGCCCCUGGGCUUACCCUACGCCGUCAGCCCCUACUUCCACACAGGCACCAUGGGGGGACUCUUCACGGAUGGGGAGGCGACAGCCCCGGAGGAUGUCAGCAAGUGGACAGUGGAGGAUGUCUGCAGCUUUGUGGGGGGCCUGUCUGGCUGUGGAGAAUACGCACCGGUCUUCAGAGAACAGGGCAUUGAUGGAGAGACCCUGCCCCUGCUGACUGAGGAGCAUCUCCUGACAACCAUGGGGCUGAAGCUGGGGCCUGCUCUCAAGAUCCGGGCCCAGGUGGCCAGGCGCCUGGGCCGCGUUUUCUACAUGGCCAGCUGCCCAGUGGCUUUGCCGCUACAGCCGCCCCCAUUGCGGGCCCCAGAGCAGGAACUGAUGCCUGGGGAACAGCCCCUGUCCCCAGCAACAGCCCCCUCCCCCUGUGGGGGCGAGCACUCCCCUGCGGGAGCCUCCCCCAAACAAGAAAAUGGAACCCUGGCUCUGCUCCCAGGGCCUGUAGACCCCUCCCAGCCCCUGUGCUGAGCCGGGUGGACACUCAGAUCCCCGCCCUCAGUGCCAGCCACACCAGCGGCAACCUCCUCCUUCCACAACUUGUUUUCCUUUUGAUUUUGGAUGCAAAACCACGAAUUUUUACAGUGAAAACUUGCAACUUGAAAGAAAUGACUUUCCAAAGGCUUUCUGGGGGUGACUGUAGAGCCCAGUACCGACUGCCUAGGCACCCGAGCCUGGGCACAGGAGCUCUGCAUCCUGGGCAGCUGCAGACAAACCAAAGACAAAGGAGGCAGAGGCAGCACGUCAUGCCCUGGCCAGGCCUGCUGGCUCCCUCUGGCAUUGGGACUGCUCUGUGAGGUUUUCCGUGACCUGACUUCAGGCAAGGGGUCACCAGGUCCCCCACAGGGUUGGCAACAGUACCCCACCAGCAGCUCUGGGGUACAGUGGAAGGCAAGCUCUACAGUACAGGUUUCCAACCCUACGGCGGCCACUCCAGAGAUCCACACAGGGCUCGGUAUGUUAUGGUCUUUCAUGUUGUAAGAAUAAAGCCCCGUCCACCAACA